CCUCAAUUUUGGAAGAAUGAAAGAAUGCAAUGAUUGUUUGCAGAUUAUUCACAUAUUAGCAAAAUUGAGCUUGAAGACAAAGUUUAUUUAUAAGGGCUUUAGCAUUUUGGCAUUCAGUCUUUGAUUUCUUAAGAUGCAACAAUAUUACCUGGAACUGUGAUCUAUUAUUAUUAUUUAGUAGAUUGAAUAUUCUCCGGUUAAUGUGUCAUGUUCCAGUCCUCGUAUAACAAAACCGGAACUGCUAAACAACAGUUGGGUCGCUGAUUCGUGUUUUGAAAACAAAAGGCAAUUGGGCAAUAUCACUCGAGUAGCGGAGUAGAUGUCAUUUCUGGUAUCGAUCGAGGAAUCAGUUCUUCAGUUCUCGUAGCAUGGUGGAUGAAAAAUCUUUUGGUGAUCAACAGUCUACCUUGUGGGUCGAGCUCUUCGUGGAGUAUUUUGUUAAUCUGAUUUACGUUCUUGUCACUUCCGUCAUUCACUUGACCGAAGUAUUGGUUGAAUACGGGAGCAUUUUCUUCAAUCCAUUUUCCUACUGUUGAUUAGUUUAUCAGAAACAAUAGUCGCUAUUUUUGAUUUGGCAUUCUCUGACUUCCAAAUCAAACUACUGCAAGUAUUCUUUUGCAUACUAGCCAUCCACAU